rnacentral:rRNA from 1 species
GUGGGGAAUUUUGGACAAUGGGCGCAAGCCUGAUCCAGCAAUGCCGCGUGUGUGAAGAAGGCCUUCGGGUUGUAAAGCACUUUUGUCCGGAAAGAAAUCUCCUGGGUUAAUACCUCGGGGGGAUGACGGUACCGGAAGAAUAAGCACCGGCUAACUACGUGCCAGCAGCCGCGGUAAUACGUAGGGUGCGAGCGUUAAUCGGAAUUACUGGGCGUAAAGCGUGCGCAGGCGGCUAUGCAAGACAGAUGUGAAAUCCCCGGGCUCAACCUGGGAACUGCAUUUGUGACUGCAUGGCUAGAGUGCGUCAGAGGGAGGUGGAAUUCCGCGUGUAGCAGUGAAAUGCGUAGAGAUGCGGAGGAACACCGAUGGCGAAGGCAGCCUCCUGGGAUGACACUGAUGCUCAUGCACGAAAGCGUGGGGAGCAAACAGGAUUAGAAACCCGUGUAGUCC